rnacentral:piRNA from 1 species
UAGGAUGGCGUCUGGCCGAUGCGGUGA